AUGCAGAGGUGGACCGUGUUGGGGUCUGAGGUUUUACCACUGAAAGCUACCUGCAAAAAGGGACUACCUAGAAAAGCAUCACCCUGGAAUUUUAGCAUAACCUUUUCAAAACCAACUACUAACCACCAAGCACUGUUUUAUGAAAUUUGCAGGCAUCAUGUGUCAUUCUCACAGCUGUUAGGACUUCAAUGAUGUUAUAAGGAAGUUGGGGCUCAGAGAAGCUACAGAACUUACCCAAGGACACACAGCCAUCACGUGAGUGACUGAAGUGUUCGGCUCCAUUUGACUCCUAUGUUAUGUUCUUUGCGUUCUGCCCUAUGGUCUCCGAGAAUGACUGAAAUUUUAAAGAGAUCGGUUCUAUUAUGGGGAGGACAUGUGGGUUUUCUUCUGCUUCCUAAAGAGACAAAGCCCCAGCAACUGAUCAACUGGAGUGGACAGUUCUCUUGUCCCAGGGGAAUCUGGUGCCUGAGAGCUGUCAUUUGAGGAUUCCAGGAGAGUUCUUGUGGAUUUCAAGUGAACUUUCUGAACCUAAAAAUUUGGGAAAUGUAGACUUCCCCAUGAGAAUAUGACUUAAGGAGCAGGAAUAAAAAAACAUGAGCUGUG
rnacentral:lncRNA from 1 species